GAACUCGUAGUUCAAUUGGAUACAGCAUUGGUUUUCUAAACCGAGGGUUACAGGUUCGAACCCUGUCGAGGUCA
rnacentral:tRNA from 1 species